GUGAACGCUGGCGGUAGGCCUAACACAUGCAAGUCGAACGGCAGCACAGUAAGAGCUUGCUCUUACGGGUGGCGAGUGGCGGACGGGUGAGGAAUACAUCGGAAUCUACUUUUUCGUGGGGGAUAACGUAGGGAAACUUACGCUAAUACCGCAUACGACCUACGGGUGAAAGCAGGGGAUCUUCGGACCUUGCGCGAUUGAAUGAGCCGAUGUCGGAUUAGCUAGUUGGCGGGGUAAAGGCCCACCAAGGCGACGAUCCGUAGCUGGUCUGAGAGGAUGAUCAGCCACACUGGAACUGAGACACGGUCCAGACUCCUACGGGAGGCAGCAGUGGGGAAUAUUGGACAAUGGGCGCAAGCCUGAUCCAGCCAUACCGCGUGGGUGAAGAAGGCCUUCGGGUUGUAAAGCCCUUUUGUUGGGAAAGAAAAGCAGCAGGUUAAUACCCCGCUGUUCUGACGGUACCCAAAGAAUAAGCGCCGGCUAACUUCGUG
rnacentral:rRNA from 1 species